rnacentral:snRNA from 1 species
GGAGGUGAGGGAGAUCUGGCUGCGACAUCUGUCGUCCCACUGAUCGCCAGGAUUGAUUCGGCUGAUCUGGCUGGCUAGGCGGAUGUCCCCUUCCUCAGCACUCCAUGUGCGUCCCUCCGGAAGAGGAUGACCACCCCCAGUUUCCUCGGCCAAGGGUAUGCGAGUAGCUGCGCUCCCCUGCUACAACCCCCAAACACGCUCUCAAGGAAAAAUUACCAUCUUGGUUGAAAGUCAUUUAUCUAUAUUAAACUGAACCUACUUUUAAGGAAGACCCUUUGGUGCCUAUUUUU